rnacentral:rRNA from 1 species
AGUGAACGCUGGCGGUAGGCCUAACACAUGCAAGUCGAACGGCAGCACAGUAAGGGCUUGCUCUUACGGGUGGCGAGUGGCGGACGGGUGAGGAAUACAUCGGAAUCUACUUUUUCGUGGGGGAUAACGUAGGGAAACUUACGCUAAUACCGCAUACGACCUACGGGUGAAAGCAGGGGAUCUUCGGACCUUGCGCGAGUGAAUGAGCCGAUGUCGGAUUAGCUAGUUGGCGGGGUAAAGGCCCACCAAGGCGACGAUCCGUAGCUGGUCUGAGAGGAUGAUCAGCCACACUGGAACUGAGACACGGUCCAGACUCCUACGGGAGGCAGCAGUGGGGAAUAUUGGACAAUGGGCGCAAGCCUGAUCCAGCCAUACCGCGUGGGUGAAGAAGGCCUUCGGGUUGUAAAGCCCUUUUGUUGGGAAAGAAAAGCAGCAGGUUAAUACCCCGCUGUUCUGACGGUACCCAAAGAAUAAGCACCGGCUAACUUCGUG